AAAUAUUUGUUUUUUCUCAAUUAUAUUUUUAUGAUGUUUUAAGAUUAGUGUUAAAUGUGAUCGUUUGAAGCAUAAUGCAUUCUCAGAACACACCUCCAUGAUAAACACUUCUAUGUAAAUUGUGUCAAUUAUGUUAGUGAUUUUGCAUCUGAGUAUUGUGACUGAUGUUCCAAGAGAGAAAGCGCAUCAUCUCAAACCGAGAUUGUUGCGAAAGGUAAUUGGUUUAUAGAUGUAAUUGGAUA
rnacentral:lncRNA from 1 species